rnacentral:rRNA from 1 species
GAUGAACGCUAGCUACAGGCUUAACACAUGCAAGUCGAGGGGCAGUCAUGGUCUUUAGCUUGCUAAGGCCGAUGGCGACCGGCGCACGGGGUGAGUAACACGUAUCCAACCUGCCGUCUACUCGUUGGACAGCCUUCUGAAAGGAGAUUAAUACAAGAUGGCAUCAUGAGUCCGCAGUAGUUCACAUGAUUAAAGGUAUUCCGGUAGACGAUGGGGAUGCGUUUCCAGUUAGAUAGUAGGCGGGGUAACGGCCACCUAGUCUUCGAUGGAUAGGGGUUCU